CUAGAAUUUGUAUGAUUAUCGUAUUUAUAGACGGCAGACACAGUGCUUUAGUUUUCUACAAGAUGUUGCCACAACAAACCACUGACCAGAGAUGUAAGCAAAACAAGACAAGUAAGAAAGUCCAGGUAUUAGGUUGCAAACAUGAUUCAUGAUAAUUUGAAAUAAUUCCCCUUUAAUUAACCCAUUGAGCACCAGCACUAUAAUCCCCUUGAGGAGUAAAUAGUCUGGCGUUAGACAGAUACAAUAAUAAAGUAGAGUGCAAUGCAACUCAGUGGGUUAAAAUGGGGGUGGUGAUAAUAAUUAUACCGGUACUAAAAAGCCUUUUAUGUCUCUAGAUUUAAAAUUGUGAAGUUGCAAAGGUUCUUUUAGUUCACUUCCUUUGUAAAUGCAUGCCCAAAUUCCAGAUGCACAGCUGCUUUCUCAUGCCUGUAAGGUAAAGAAUACUUUCUAUUACUCCAGUUGUAGCUGCUGCUGGCAUGAUACAGUAUAUGUUGAUAUACCUAUAACCAACUGAGCUACAAAUUGCUGUUGUUGAGCUCUUGGGUUAUAUAGAUGGAUAAUAUACAUGUGCAAAUUUUAUACAUUUUAUUUACCUAACCAGGAGCAGUUGCAACUAUUAUGGCCCUCUGGCAGGAACUGAAGACACUGAAUCUGCGGCCCCACUCCAACACUAUAACCAACUACCAAUUAAUUACUGGGCUACAAAUUGCUGUUGUUGAGCUCCACCCAUAGUAUACCG